GACUCGGUGGCGCAACGGUAGCGCGUCUGGCUGCGGGUCAGAAGGUUGCGUGUUCGAAUCACGCCCGAGUCA